rfam:Triticum aestivum genome assembly, contig: Triticum_aestivum_CS42_TGACv1_scaffold_641520_T_7BL-0.140324_7BS-0.088233
AUGAUACUCCCUCCGUUUGAAAUUACUUGUCGUAGAAAUGGAUGUAUAUAGACGUAUUUAGUUCUAUAUACAUCCAUUUUUAUCCAUUGUUGCGACAAAUAAUUUGGGACAGAUGGGGUAUUUU